rnacentral:rRNA from 1 species
AUGAGUUGCUUCCAACUCACCAAGAAAUUGUGCGGGAACCUGACAUCUAUCUCUUCUAACUUUUGGUGGGGUGAAGCUAACGGUGAGAAAAAGGUACACUGGAUCGCUUGGCAAAAAAUGUGCGCGAGCAAACGCGAGGGUGGUAUGGGUUUUCAUGAUAUGGAGGUUUUUAAUCAAGCGUUAUUGGCAAAGCAAGCCUGGAGAAUUAUGCUUGUCCCCUCUUUGUUGUGUGCACGUGUCCUCAAGGCACGCUAUUUUUAUGGGACUAUCCUCAAUGCAACAUGUCCGAGUGGUGCUUCUUACACCUUCAAAAGCAUUUUGUUUGGCCGGGACUUAUAUGGAGAGUGGGGGACGGCUCGAGCAUUUGCAUCCACCAUGAUAGUUGGAUACCACGCAAAGGUAGCCUUCGGCCGCUGGGCCAAGUAUUUGUGCCAGGGAUCACGCGAGUGA